UACAGAGACUGCAAGCGUUAUUCGGAUUCACUGGGCGUAAAGGGUGCGCAGGCGGCCGUGUGUGUCAGGUGUGAAAUCCCGGGGCUUAACCCCGGAACUGCGCCUGAAACUACACGGCUAGAGUAUUGGAGAGGGUAGCGGAAUUCACGGUGUAGCAGUGAAAUGCGUAGAUAUCGUGAGGAACACCAGAGGCGAAGGCGGCUACCUGGACAAUAACUGACGCUCAGGCACGAAAGCGUGGGGAGCAAAAGGG
rnacentral:rRNA from 1 species